rnacentral:tRNA from 1 species
UUAGAAUGCCUGCCUGUCACGCAGGAGGUCGCGGGUUCGAGUCCCGUCCAUUCCG